CAGCCGCCGCGGGAAUACGAAGGGGGCUAGCGUUGCUCGGAAUGACUGGGCGUAAAGGGCGCGUAGGCGGAUCACGCAGUCAGAUGUGAAAUUCCUGGGCUUAACCUGGGGGCUGCAUUUGAGACGCGUGGUCUAGAGUGUGAAAGAGGGUCGUGGAAUUCCCAGUGUAGAGGUGAAAUUCGUAGAUAUUGGGAAGAACACCGGUGGCGAAGGCGGCGACCUGGUUCAUGACUGACGCUGAGGCGCGAAAGCGUGGGGAGCAAACAGGAUUAGAUACCCGCGUAGUCCCUGUCUCUUAUAC
rnacentral:rRNA from 1 species